GAUGAACGCUGGCGGCGUGCCUAACACAUGCAAGUCGAGCGAGAUGCUUCUGAUAGAUUCUUCGGAUGAUAGAUGAAGCGGAAAGCGGCGGACGGGUGAGUAACGCGUAGGCAACCUGCCCUUCACAGAGGGAUAGCCUCGGGAAACCGGGAUUAAAACCUCAUAAUGCCAUAGGAAGACAUCUUCUCUUGGCCAAAGAUUUAUCGGUGAAGGAUGGGCCUGCGUCUGAUUAGUUAGUUGGUGGGGUAACGGCCUACCAAGGCGACGAUCAGUAGCCGACCUGAGAGGGUGAUCGGCCACAUUGGAACUGAGACACGGUCCAAACUCCUACGGGAGGCAGCAGUGGGGAAUAUUGCACAAUGGGGGAAACCCUGAUGCAGCAACGCCGCGUGAAGGAAGAAGGCCUUCGGGUCGUAAACUUCUGUCCUUGGGGAAGAGACAAAUGACGGUACCCUUGGAGGAAGCCCCGGCUAACUACGUGCCAGCAGCAGCCGCAGUAA
rnacentral:rRNA from 1 species